UUACGGCCAUAUCACGUUGAAACGCCAGUUCCGUUUCAGAUACGAGCACCGCAGUUAAGCAAGGUCGAGCCUGGUUAGUACAUAAAGGGGUGACCGCUUGUGAAUACCAGGUGUUGUGA